UACGGAGGGUGCAAGCGUUAUCCGGAUUCACUGGGUUUAAAGGGUGCGUAGGUGGGCAGGUAAGUCAGUGGUGAAAUCUCCGGGCUUAACCCGGAAACUGCCGUUGAUACUAUCUGUCUUGAAUGUAGUGGAGGUGAGCGGAAUAUGUCAUGUAGCGGUGAAAUGCUUAGAUAUGACAUAGAACAUCGAUUGCGAAGGCAGCUCGCUACACUAUUAUUGACACUGAGGCACGAAAGCGUGGGGAUCGAAACAAGG
rnacentral:rRNA from 1 species